CAAUCAUAAAAUCUAUAAAAAAAAUAAAAAACAAUGAUAUAACUUGCAUUGGGCUUGAACCUACUUCCCGUGUAUCCCGCCGUACGAGAGUCGAAGCGAUUUCAAACUGCAUCAACUUCGCGUAUACGUCAUGUGGGAAUAUACACAAACUGAACAACUUUUUGACAUUUUGUUUAUAUGAAUUUUUAUUAGUUUGAUUUUUGUCGAAUUAAAAUACAAUAUAUAAAGUAAGAAAACGAUACAUUAGAUGAAAAUUUGUAGAAAGUUUGUUCCUAAUCAGAUUAUGUAAAUUAAAGCAUUGCCUACUAGAGGUAUAGCAUAGCAAGUACUAGGUAAGUACAUUAUUUUUUUUUACAUUUUCCAAAUAGGUAUGAAGAUAAUUUUUUAUUGGAAUACAACUGAAACAUUUAGAAUUACGUACCUGUGGCUUUUCAAAACUAUUUAAAAAGUCACUAUAAUUAUAAAAUUGAUUUUAUUUCUGUCCUCACAACAAUAAAAACUAAUAUAUUAUACAACAUUUUUGUUUACCGAUAACCUCCAUAUUGAACAAUUAUUGACAGAUCAUUUCAACACCCAAUCAGAGCCCGUAUAAAGACUAAUACCAAACUGUCGGUGUGCUCAUGCGCGCAGAUCAAUAUAGAUUCACCCUCAAUCUCAAUCGCGCCUAAAGAAGUAUAACUUCAAAAAGAUGCGAGUGUUGAAACGUGAUACAACGUUGGUGUUUGUACAUCCAUCAAGGGAGUUUUCUCCGUAACGGGGCGAAGAUAGAAUAUUUUAUUUUAUUUUUAAUUUUGAACUGUAUAUCAAUAUCCUGAAUAUAUUUACUUUAUUUUUAA
rnacentral:lncRNA from 1 species